rfam:Triticum urartu cultivar G1812 contig235635, whole genome shotgun sequence.
CCCCUCGAUGAUGAAGAGUCAAUCUCGCAUAUUCUCUCCGAGCUGGACAUGGAUUACCAGCCGCUGAUCUCCGCCCUCGACGUCCGCACCGAGCUACUCUCCCUCGAUCACCUCUUCGCCCUCAUGUCCAAUUUCGACC